GAUAAUGUCCAUCUAUGUUGUUCACUAAGUAUGACCUAGAGAAAAGCUUACAAUCACCACUUUUCAGGGAAUAGAAGAAAAAGGCUUCUAUACCACAAUCCAUCACUGAAACACAGCCUGCCCUCUACUCCUUUGUAAGACCACUCUUCUGCAAGCAGUCUUGGGAUUGGUUGUUCCUUCAACUCUUUUUCAGCUGCUCAUGUGAAACCCAAGACUCUGUCUGAAGGCCAGAAUCCAAUCUCAGCCGCAUCAAAUACACCUGGAAGAAAUCACAUGACAAAGGGGGACUUAAUCCCAAAUAAAGCCUGCUACAUCAAGUAUCACUAGCACUUUCCACAACAAUAAAGAAAGGACCGGAUUUUCCUGGCAGAGCUCCAACAACAAGGGCAGCUGUGGAACAACCCAAAGUGGAGUGCUGGGGACAGUGCAGGCAUCCGUGAGUGGUCUGCAGCUGAGGAAGCAUUUCUGGGACCUGGCAAGGAGAGUCCUAAAGCACACCGACUGAGAGAAUGACUGUGGUUCCAAGCUACCGUGGUUCUGUGCCAGUUUCAGCUGGGGUAGAGUUAACUUUCUUCACAGUGGCUAGUACAGGGCUAUGUUUUGGAUUUCUGCUGAACGCAGAGUUGAUGGUAUAGAGGCAUUUUUGUUAUUGCUGAACAGGACUUACACAGAGCCAAAGCCUUUUCUGCUUUUUGACCUGAAAUGACCAAAGGAAUAUUCCAUCCUAGAUGAUGCCAUGCUCAUAUCUAACAUGGGGGAAGAAGGAGGAAGGUGGCACAUUUAGAAUUAUGGCAUUUGUCCUCCCAAGUAACCAUUGUGUGGGAUGGGAUGCUGCUCUCCCACAGGUAGCUGAACCCGUGCCUGCCAUUGGGAAACAGUGAAUUAAUUCCUUGGUUUGUUUUGCUUGUGUGUGCAGCUUUUGCUUUGCCUACUAAAGGGUCUUUUUCUCAAUCCAUGAGUUCUCUGUCUUUUACCCUUCUGAUUUUCUUCCCCAUCCUGCUGGUGGAGGAGCGAGCAAGCGGCUGCAUGGUACUUUGUUGCUGGCUGGGGUUAAACCAUGACAUGUUCUCCACAUGAAAAACUGUUUCACACAUUCUACACUGAUGACUAAUGAUAAUUUUGUAGUUUAGAAUAAUUCUCUGGAUUUAAAUUAAGAAAAGUAUCACAGCUUGCAAACUCAGGAUCUAAAAUAUAACUGCAUCCAGUGCUACUUGUCAGAAUGAUUAUGUAGAAUUUCCUUGGCUUCCAUUCAUAAAAACCUAUUUUAGAUGACUAAUGAAAACACACUGAUUUUCCUGUGUGCUAAGCACUUCCAAAUCUGUCAUUUUCUCACCUUCUUUUUCAGUGUAGUCUCUCCAUUAAUCCUAAAAACUAUCUACUUGUAUUCUCUGCAUGCCUGUACAGAAGUUCAGAUCAUUAACUUGGAAACUGCUGUUGAAAUAUGCUGUCUUCUGCCAGGUCUCAGACCUCCUUUAUCUGUCUCCAGGAAGUGAAGUUCAUUAUGUUUCCCCUGGACCAUGCAAAGCAGAAUAAUAAUCUUGUUUUAUAAAGUA